CGCCCGGUGGCCGUGCGGGUGUCCGCCCGCCCCCAGCAGGCGCCCGGAGCUCGGUCGGCUUUGGCUUAUGGUUAAUUUUAGCUCCAUUGGUUCGGCUGUGCCUUUGCAUGAAUACUUGUGCCUGUACAGACGAUGGUAGAAACAAGCAGCUGAUGAUGGAGAAAAUGAUAAGACUGGACUUAGAGGACUUCAAGAAUAUUUCCUAAUAUGACUUUUUCAGGUCGAGAUCACAAGAGUGGAAUACACUUCAAAUUUGAACCUUUAGGUUUUUGAGGAUCCCGCUUGGAAGAGAUUGAUUUGACACAUUCCUGACACGAGUUCUCCUCCUACCCGGAUUUACACUCCCACCUGCCAACGUGCGCUGUCCUGAUUCCCCUUCCUGGUGAGCCUGAGCACAGGAAGCCAUCAUACACUUGAACUUAUUACAGGCCAGAACUAUGGCUGAUCAUCAUUUUUUUUUUUCAACAAAACAAACUUCCUUUAGGUUGCAUUAAAUAACUGAUAUUCACAUUUUAAUUGAUAUUAAAAUAUAAUUUUAAGAAUACCACCUGAAUGAUAUAUUGAGGCCAUUCACGAUAGAGUAUUUUCAGUUGUUAAACUAACCUGAAGAAAAAAAAAAAUCAAGUUAGAGUCAUAUUUUCUUACACUUUCCUACGUAAAAAGGAGCACAUGUUUAAGGGAAAGAGAAAGUGGUAAUGGAUACAUACUGCUCUUUGCCUGCCUGCACUCAGAAACAUCAUAGCAGAACAUGACCAAAUAUACCUUUUUGAAGGCAUGACGUUAUCUACUGGUCAUAAUGGCUCUGUUUUAUCUCAGAAACAGGACUGGAGAUUCCCUCCCUCCUGCCCCCAAGCUGUAGGAAGGUCAAUCUCAAGGAUUUUGCCUGUAGAGUCUCCAACACAGGCAAUUAGUUCUUUAAUAAGUUGGAGAUUGCUUACCGGUUUUAAGAAAGGAGUAAUGAAACUUGCUGAAUAUAUUAGAAAACUUGAGAAAUGCACAGAAAUGAUGUUAUUAGCUAUUUACCUUCAGGUAGCAGCACCUGCAGGCCCUUCAAAAUGCUGGUUCUUCUCUGUGUGAGGCACUUCAUACCACUCCAAAUUCUAUUCAAUUCAAGCUAAUGGCAAUGGAUGGAAGAUGAACACAGUCAACAGGGAGAGCUAGCAGUAGGGUAAUUAUCAUACCAAGCAGAGGUUGUAACAUAUGAGCUUCUUAAUUACUGAGAAGGAUUUUGUAGACAAAGUGGUACUUACUGUAGGAAUUUGGAGGAGGAAAAAUUAAUGUUUUAGGGAACCUCUUGUGCAACAUGAAAGAAGCAAGAAGUUACAGGAGAAAAAAGAAAGUUGGAUUGAUGUGUGGGAGAAGUCUUGUUGAAGGAUUGCCCAGACAGAUAUUUUCAGGCAGAUAACAUCAUGUCUUUGCCUCGGAUGGGUGAAGGUAUGACCUUGCAACACCUGUGUACAGCAGCUAUAGUAGUAAUUGGUAAGAUGACAGCACUAUUCAAAUGACACAUAGCUCUUCUUCACAUUUCCUCUACUGCCAAGACAGCCUGGGAAUUGGAAAACUGCAGUCACAGCUCUGGGAUCCUCAGCGACGCUCCGCAGUUGUCAGAAGCACCAAACUCUUCCAUGUCUGUCACUGGGUCCUGUCCACUGCUGACCAUCUGCAGAGGCACACAAAACCAAUUUCCCUCUCCUGAUUUCUAUUAGGGUGAUGAAAUUCCAAGUGUGAAAUUCCAAUUCACAACAGACCCUACUAAAAAGUCUGUCCCCUUCCUUCUUACAGCCCCCCUUUAGAUACUGAAAGGCCACUCUCAGGUUUCCCCAGUGCCUUCUCCAGGCUGAACAGCCCCAGCUCUCCCAGCCUGUCCUCACAGGAGAGGUGUUCCAUCCCUGGGAUUAUUUUUGUGGCCCUCCUCUGGACACCCUCCAACAGGUCCGUGUCUCUCCUGUACUGAGGACUCCACAUCUGUAAGCAGUACUCCAGGUGAGGCCCCACAGCACAGAGGGGCAGGAUCGUGUAUGACUAGAGAAUGAGAAGAAGCUAAGAAGCAGCAUUAAUAGCCAGGCAAAGAAAAAAUACGAGAUUGGCCAGCAUUAUGAUACGCCACAAAGGGUCUGAAAAGGAAACACAAAUUAUACGUGUUGAAGUUAACGAUGAUUUUCGCACUACCGCUCGAAACAGAAAGGUGAACACAGACACUCCAACAAGCUCAGAGAACACACAGCACAGACACAGCCCGGCUUUAUAAUGGCCCCGCGAUCCGUAUGGCGCAG
ensembl:lncRNA